rnacentral:lncRNA from 1 species
AAGCAGAGACUUUUAUAAAACCACUUGGUUUCAGCUGGGGAUGUUUUAGAAAAAAAUCAGCAUGAUGUGAGCUUUUUGUCAUAGAAAUGGCCCCCGAAUCGCCCCAUGUCCAGGCAGCCAGUGUGCUGGCUGUAGGAGAGGUUUGGGCUGGCAGGCUUCUGGCAGCCAGGAAGCCAGAUGGGGCCGCACGGUGGGGAGCAGGCAAAGAGGGUGGGCAGGCAUCAGGGCUCAUCUUUGUUCUGAAACCGUCAAGGACUGUCCCUCUUCCAGCCUGGCUUUAGCGGUACAGAGGGAGAAGCAGCUGCCUUCUCCUCACUCCCAUUGCAGCUGGAGGGUCUGCUGCCCCCCACCCCCUCCCCUGACCUGGGGGGAGCGCCCAGAACGCAUAGGAGAGCAAGGACCAGGCCAAAUGCCUGCUUCCUUAACAGGUGGCUGCCAGAGUCUGCCCGGUGGCUGAUUAUCACGGGCAAAACCAGACCAAGCGCUUCAGGAACUCAGAAAGGUGGCCAGGAUAAAUGGCCGCAAGGAAGCCAAAAAGACACUGACCACAGAGGUGCUGAUGUCCAGCAUGGAGGAGGAGGUGGCCUCCGUGAGGGCCCGCCAGUCGGUGCUGGACCUGUUCCGCGUGCCCGUGCUGUGCUGGAGAAGCUUGAGUCUCUUCGUGGUGCAACUUGCAGCCCCUGCGUGUGGUCUUCGCCGUGCUGGGAAAGGGAUGUUUUGGUGUAAGCUUGACAUGCCUAACCAUCUACAAGCCUGAGCUCUUCCCAACUCCGCUGCGGGUGACGGCAGAUGGCUUCCUGCAGUCAGCAGGUCGGCUGGGGGCUGUGAUUGGCCCCCUGAUCAUGAUGACCCGCCAGGCCCUGCCCCUGCUGCCCCCCAUCUCCUACGGUGUCAUCUCCAUCGCUGCCAGCCUCAUCGUGCUCUUCCUCCCAGAGACCCGGGGACUUCCACUCCCUGACACCAUCCAGGACCUGGAGAGCCAGACAUCAGCACCAGCCAGUGGUUCCCAGCGAGAGGAGAUCAUCAGAGAAAGCACCUGGUUCUAGAAAUACUGCCUGUGUGGAGCCCCUUUGGCUAAAGAUCCCAACGGAGGGAAUUGCCGCUUCGCCAAUCAGAGGGUGGGAGCGAUCGGGGAAGCCUUGAGGGUCUGGUGUAGCAGGGGCUGGGCAGGCAUGGCUGAGUGGGCAGUGUCGCCAUCUACUGUCCUCCCUAACCUGGUCAGACUCUCCACCCACCUCAGCUCUACAGGAGCCCACUGCAGACAGCCAUGCGCAGCCUGACUGCCCUCAGGUCCACCUCGUUAACAAGAUGGGCCCUCUUCCUUCCCUGCCAGGCUCACAGCUUCACACCUUCACCCAGCCAGCCCCCCAACUCACUUCACAGAACCUCUGCUGCAGGUUACUCACCUCUGAGCUUCCAGACGGGAUCAUAGGACAGAGAGGGUGGGAUCCAGACAGAACUGGAUGCUGAUCUGUCCCCCACCACUGAUAGAGUCCUCAUCUGUAAAAGGGAACGAUCAUGGAAACUGCCUCCCAUGGUGGGUGGUGGGGUGAACGGAUCUUACCACAGCGCAGAGUCCAACAAAUAGAACCGGCUAACAGAGCUGCCAGGUGCCAGUGUCUAGGUUGUGCCCUGCCCCAAGGCACCAGCUAAGGAGGCAUGUGGGGGCCAAAUCCAGCCCAGGCUACACUGGCCCAGACACUUACCCUAACGGGGGCUGUGUUCAUUCCAAGAAAGGGGUUGUUUUCAUUACCUCCCAUUUACCCCAUUGCUGAGGGAGGGCUUCCUGCCUGUGGAUAUAGGGAUGGCCUAACACACGACAUCUAGCACUGCACAGAUGACAGGGACUGCAGUUUAUUAAUCACAGCCCAAGGGAGGAUGACACCACACACCCUGCAGGGUCAUGAGGGGGUUGCUCGCAAGAACAGAGUGAACCACCAGGGGCCGUGGGGGGCAGGAUUUGUGGUAUCAAGAGGGUGGGGUGGCUCCUGGUUCCUGAAGGAGGAUGUGACUGGCUUGUUUGACUAAUUUCACACAUCGGCAGGAAACUUAAACCUGCGUCUCGGGGAGAACACAGAGCUGUGCCUGGUCCCUUGAUAAGAAGCGUUGUUGGCUAGGGGACCUUAAAGGACAGAAUGGGGAGGGAUUCACAGUUAGGCCAUUUGAGACCCUCUUGGUUGCACCAGAUGUCAAGGCAGCAGGUAAUAUUGGGCCUUGAUUUUAGGCCUCACAUCACAGGAGCAACCUUUUGCUGUUUGUCUAUCUCGAGGGGUCACCUUUUCCAAAUUCAUGCAAAGACCCUCCCUGUGCUAGCAGCAGCCCAGGCUGGUAAAAUUGUGGGAUGGUUGAGUCUGACCACUUAUUUGAGAGGUGAGGAAACUAAAGCCCAGAGAUGGAAUGACGUGCUCGGAGCCACACACCUGACUCCAGCCCAGGGCUCUUUCCAGAGCACCAGGCUCCUCGCCCUCACCCACAUCCCUCUGCAGCCCUGUCAUAAAGUUACAUCCUUCCCCAAAGAUCCAGACCCUUUAGACAAUUGCCCACCCUCCUUGGACAACUCAGGGAAACUUCUAGAUUCCCCAUCCCAGGUCCCCUCUCUCACAUCCGACACACACCAGAGCCGUCACAUACAAUUCAAAUCAAAACCAUCUGGGAGCUCAUGAUAAAGAUCACGCUUUCCCCACCAACGGGCCCCUAGGGGUCCCCAGCCUUACUUCACAUGUAAUAAAUUUAAAAGAAUUCAAAUCACACAA